GCCUGAGUGGCUCAGUAGUUGAGCGUCUGCCUUUGACUUAGGUCGUGAUCCCAGGGUCCUGGGAUCAAGUCCCACAUCAGGCU
rnacentral:tRNA from 1 species